rfam:Archaeon GW2011_AR15 chromosome.
GCGCCUGUAGCUCAGCUUGGAUAGAGCGACUGCCUCCUAAGCAGUAGGUCCGGAGUUCGAAUCUUCGCAGGCGCG